rnacentral:lncRNA from 10 species
AAAAUGGGCUAACAGUCUGAGGUGCCUGACGUCCAGGCAUUCUUUUACACUUUGGUCCCUCCCUAGUCUCUGCUCACAGUGCAACUUGUCCCAAAUCUUCCUUCUUUCCCUCCCGCCUGUCCCCUCAGUCCCAACCCCAAGCGUCGCUGAGACUUUCCUCUUUCCAAUCUUCCUUUUCUACAGACCCAUCUGACCUCUCCCCUCCUCCCCAGGCUGCUCCUCGCCAGGCCGAGCUAGGUCCCAAUUCUUCCUCAGCCUCCACUCCCCAACCUAUAAUCCUUUUAUCACCUCCCCUACUCACACCCGGUCCGGCUUACAGUUUCCUUCCACAACUAGCCCUCCCCCACCUGCCCAGCAAUUUCCUCUUAAAAAGGUGGCUGGAGCUAAAGGCAUAGUCAAGGUUAAUGCUCCUUUUUCUUUAUCCCAAAUCAUAUAGCGUUUAGGCUCUUUUUCAUCAAAUAAAAAACCCAGCCCAGUUCAUGGCUCAUUUGGCAGCAACCCUGAGACGCUUUACAGCCCUAGACCCUAAAAGGUCAAAAGGCCGUCUUAUUCUCAAUAUACAUUUUAUUACCCAAUCCGCUCCGGACAUUAAAUAAAACUCCAAAAAUUAAAUUCCAGCCCUCAAACCCCACAACAAGACUUAAUUAACCUCACCUUCAAGGUGUACAAUUAAUAAAGUAGAGGCAGCCAAGUAGCAAUGUAUUUCUGAGUUGCAAUUCCUUGCCUCCACCGUGAGACAAACCCCAGCCAUAUCUCCAGCACACAAGAACUCCAAACGCCUGAACCACAGCUGCCGGGGUUCCUCCAGAACCUCCUCCCCCAGGAGCUUGCUACAAGUGCCGGAAAUCUGGCCACUGGGCCAAGGAAUGCCCACAGACCAGGAUUCCUUCUAAGCCGUGUCCCAUCUGUGCAGGACCCCACUGAAAAUCGGACUGUUCAACUGACCUGGCAGCCACUUUCAGAGCCCCUGGAACUCUGGCCCAAGGCUGUCUGACUGACUCCUUCCCAGAUCUUCUCGGCUUAGCAGCUGAAGACCGACACUACUCGAUUGCCUCGGAAGCCUACAAGACCAACACAAAUGCUCUGGGUAACUCACAGUGGAGGCCUGAGCUUUUGGUGUGAUAACAAGAAAUUAUUGCCACGGCCAGUAUCAAGGAGCUUUCCCCUGUGUUUCCUUCUGUGAGUUCUACAGUUGAUGGAUCAGAACAGUGCAACUGAACCAAAGUUGCUCCUCGGCUUUCUUAUCAUAUUCUCAGCAGCAAGACUCCAUGUGCCCCCUUUCUUUCACUUAUUCACACCAUUACCAAAUAUUUAUUGAGUACCUACUGUGUGUCAAACUGCCAGCUCAUCUUCACACACUCCAUGUGCUGUCAGGCUCAUACGCUCUGCUCAUGUUGUCACCCUUUUUCUGAAAUGCGCUUCCUACACCCUUCUUUCUCCAUUGGGUUCUUUCUCAUCCUUUAAUGCCAUCUAAAAGUAUUCCUUGCUCAAGGCUUCCCAAACCCCUCUAGGCAGUUGGGUUUCCCAUUCCUUGUGCUAGAAGAGAUCACUUCACAAUCUUAGUACAAACCUUAUCACACAUGUUCUCAUUAGACUGUGAGUUCCAGGAAAAAAGGGUAGUGACUUCUUUGUGCCAUUCAUUGAACUUGGUAGAACUUUAUGAGUAUAUAGCCCCA